AUGUCUACUCAGAAACAAGUCCCAUUGCGUUCGCUGGGACUUACUCCCAGGCAUUUAAAUCCCUGGAUGUUUUGAAUUCUCCAUCUCUAUACUAAGUAGCUGCUUUGAUCCAACUGUCCUUUUUGAAAUGUCUUUGGAAGAAUAUGACAAAUGGCUAAGCUCCAGGGCAGCCACAUGACUGCUUCUAAUCCUCCCACUGAUUGAUGCCAAACCCCCAGCCAGACAUGGUUUAAAUGGGAGGAGGAUUAAAUGGGGAAGAGGAAUAAACCAACGAAGACAAAACUGGAGUUCCAGUGUUUGGCUCAGUAUUUGUAUGUGUGAGUGGAUGGGGAAGGUGUUGCUAAAACAUUUUAAAUUAAUACAAAGAGAAAAUGAAAGUAUUCAACGUACUCUUUCAGGGUCAGUGGACAUGGGCUGAAUUAAAGUGGAAUAACUGUGAUGUUCUUUGCUGCUGCUGUUAAACUCUUCAUAGGCUGAGGACCCAAUGAUCAGAGACAGACUGGUGGUUUUCCGCUUAGUUCUAAGAGAA